rnacentral:rRNA from 1 species
ACGACUCUCGGCAACGGAUAUCUCGGCUCUCGCAUCGAUGAAGAACGUAGCGAAAUGCGAUACUUGGUGUGAAUUGCAGAAUCCCGUGAACCAUCGAGUYUUUGAACGCAAGUUGCGCCCAAAGCCGUCAGGCCAAGGGCACGUCUGCCUGGGUGUCACGCA